UAGAUUUAAUAAAAAACCCAA
rnacentral:piRNA from 1 species